AUGUGCCAACCGUUUUCCGGAAAAGCGUCUGGAGCAGGGAGACAGAAGGAGCACUGUGGGCACUUUGAAACAGACCCUCCUUCCGCUUACCAUCCAAGGCAAGACCCUUGCAAUCCAACCAGACCCCACUUACCCAGGCUUUACGGACUCCCCAAAAUCCACAAGGACUCCAUCCCACUCAGACCCAUUGUAAGUGCCAUUGGAUCGCUGACUUACAACCUGGCAAAAUUUCUGGCUACACAGCUACAAACCCACAUUGGGCUCACUGCACACUAUAUCAAGGACUCAACACACUUUAUUAAAAAGAUCAGCAACCUCAAUCUAAGCACCAAUGACAUCCUGAUCAGCUUUGAUGUGGUGUCCCUUUUUACCAAAGUCCCAGUAGCUGACACCCUCACACUAAUCAAACAAAACUUCCCAGAAGACAUCACAGCCCUGUUUCACCAUUGCCUCACCACUAGCUACUUUCAGUGGGACACUGGAUUCUAUGAACAGAAGGAUGGAGUGGCCAUGGGGAGCCCUCUCAGCCCAGUAGUAGCAAAUUUCUAUAUGGAAUACUUUGAAAAACAGGCCCUAGAAACAGCACCAAAAAAGCCAACUGUUUGGUUCAGAUACGUAGAUGACACCUUUACCAUUUGGAGCCAUGAAAAGGAAGAACUCAGCAAGUUCCUGGACCAUCUUAACAGCAUCCACCCAAACAUCCAAUUCACCAUGGAAAAAGAAAAGGAAGGAAAACUGCCAUUUCUAGAUGUUCUGGUCAUCCGUAAACCCAAUCAACAAUUGGGCCACACAGUUUACAGAAAACCUACACACACAGAUAGAUACCUUCAUAAAAACUCCAACCAUCACCCAAAUCAAAAAAGGAGCACAAUCAAAGCCCUGACAGACCGUGCUCAAAGAAUCUGCGAACCUCACCUCCUCCAAGGUGAACUCAACCACCUAAACUGGGCUCUACAGGCCAAUGGAUACUCCACCACAGACAUCAGAAGAGCUGCAAGGCCAAGAACAAGCCAUGAGAGUCAAGACAAAGAUCCACCCAGAGGAAAGGUGUUCUUACCAUACAUCAAGGGAACCACUGACCGCAUAGGGAAGCUGAUGAAGAAGCACAACCUACAAACUAUCUACAGACCCACAAAGAAAAUCCAACAAAUGCUACGGUCAGCGAAGGACAAGAGGGAUCCUCUCUCCUCUGCAGGAGUCUACCGGAUACCAUGCAGCUGUGGACAAGUAUACAUAGGGACCACCAAACGCAGCGCCCAAACAAGAGUCAAAGAACAUAUAAAAGGCACUGCAGACUAA
rnacentral:lncRNA from 1 species